GACUACUUACUGACGGAGAGGGUCUUUUGGAGGCCCAACUUCCAUCCGUGUCUAUUGUAACCUGGUUGCUUCGGCGGGCCCUGCCGCUUGUCGGCCGCCGGGGGGGCGCCUCUGCCCCCCGGGCCCGUGCCCAGCCGGAGACCCCAACACGAACACUGUCUGAAAGCGUGCAGUCUGAGUUGAUUGAAUGCAAUCAGUUAAAACUUUCAACAAUGGAUCUCUUGGUUCCGGCAUCGAUGAAGAACGCAGCGAAAUGCGAUAACUAAUGUGAAUUGCAGAAUUCAGUGAAUCAUCGAGUCUUUGAACGCACAUUGCGCCCCCUGGUAUUCCGGGGGGCAUGCCUGUCCGAGCGUCAUUGCUGCCCUCAAGCCCGGCUUGUGUGUUGGGUCGCCGUCCCCCUCUCCGGGGGGACGGGCCCGAAAGGCAGCGGCGGCACCGCGUCCGAUCCUCGAGCGUAUGGGGCUUUGUCACAUGCUCUGUAGGAUUGGCCGGCGCCUGCCGACGUUUUCCAACCAUUCUUUCCAGCUUGACCUCGGAUCAGGUAGGGAUACCCGCUUGAACUU
rnacentral:rRNA from 1 species